rnacentral:tRNA from 1 species
GGAGCGGUGGCCGAGUGGUUUAAGGCGGCGGUCUUGAAAACCGUUGUGCGGCAACGUACCGGGGGUUCGAAUCCCCCCUGCUCCG